rnacentral:tRNA from 1 species
GCGCCAAUAGCUCAGCUGGAUAGAGCAACGGCCUUCUAAGCCGUAGGCCGCAGGUUCGAAUCCUGCUUGGCGCA